GAUGAACGCUAGCGGCAGGCUUAAUACAUGCAAGUCGUGGGGCAGCAUGAGUAGCAAUACUUGAUGGCGACCGGCAAACGGGUGAGGAACACGUACACAACCUUCCUUCAAGCGGGGAAUAGCCCAGAGAAAUUUGGAUUAAUACCCCAUAAUAUAUUUGAUAAGGCAUCUUAUUAAAUAUUAAAGCUUCGGCACUUGAUGAUGGGUGUGCGGCUGAUUAGAUAGUUGGCGGGUAACGGCCCACCAAGUCUACGAUCAGUAGCUGAUGUGAGAGCAUGAUCAGCCACACGGGCACUGAGACACGGGCCCGACUCCUACGGGAGGCAGCAGUAAGGAAUAUUGGACAAUGGACGAAAGUCUGAUCCAGCCAUGCCGCGUGAAGGAUUAAGGUCCUCUGGAUUGUAAACUUCUUUUAUAUGGGACGAAAAAGGGCAUUCUUGUUCACUUGACGGUACCAUAUGAAUAAGCACCGGCUAACUCCGUGCCAG
rnacentral:rRNA from 1 species